CCUACGGGGGGCAGCAGUGGGGAAUAUUGGACAAUGGGGGCAACCCUGAUCCAGCCAUGCCGCGUGUGUGAAGAAGGCCCUCGGGUUGUAAAGCACUUUCAGUGAGGAAGAACGCCUGGUGGUUAAUACCCAUCAGGAAAGACAUCACUCACAGAAGAAGCACCGGCUAACUCCGUGCCAGCAGCCGCGGUAAUACGGAGGGUGCGAGCGUUAAUCGGAAUUACUGGGCGUAAAGCGCGCGUAGGUGGCUUGAUAAGCCGGUUGUGAAAGCCCCGGGCUCAACCUGGGAACGGCAUCCGGAACUGUCAAGCUAGAGUGCAGGAGAGGAAGGUAGAAUUCCUGGUGUAGCGGUGAAAUGCGUAGAGAUCGGGAGGAAUACCAGUGGCGAAGGCGGCCUUCUGGACUGACACUGACACUGAGGUGCGAAAGCGUGGGUAGCAAACAGGAUUAGAUACCCUAGUAGUC
rnacentral:rRNA from 1 species